CUUUUUUUUUGUCGAAAGCCUCAAGGAUACAAUUAAAAUCACCGACAAUAACUAUAGGAACCUGUAAUGAUAAAAUAUCACGGACCUGCGACCAUAUAAAACGUCGUUGGAACACAGACAUACUAGCAUACACCACACCCAAAAUCCAUGAAUGAGUAUGGUUUGCUGAAAUUACACCAAAAACAAGUUUCCUGUCAAUAUGAUAAAAGCAAACAGAACCAAGAGCCUCUUUCUAAACUAUAAUGAUACCACC
rnacentral:lncRNA from 1 species